rfam:Picea glauca, whole genome shotgun sequence.
ACAUGCCUACAACAUAGAGUCAAUGCACCAGAUCCUAUUAGAACUUUACAAUUAAGCACACUCAGGAUAUAGUAGUACUAGGAUGGGUGACCGCCCAGGAAGUCCUAGUGUUUUACAUGCC